UGGUCAAGUUAUUAAGGGUGCAGGGCGGAUGCCUUGGCACUAGGAGCCGAUGAAGGACGUGAUAAGCUGCGAUAAGCUUCGGGGAGUUGCACGUAAACUUUGAUCCGAAGAUUUCCGAAUGAGGAAACUCACUUAGAGUAAUGUCUAAGUAUCGUUAAGUGAAUACAUAGCUUAAUGAGGGGAACUCAGGGAACUGAAACAUCUAAGUACCUGAAGGAAGAGAAAGAAAUUCGAUUCCGUAAGUAGCGGCGAGCGAACGCGGAUUAGCCCAAACCA
rnacentral:rRNA from 1 species